UUUUCCCUGUAAAUCCAGGCCAGCUCCAGGGCAGAGGGAAUCUGCCCGGGCCCCGCCGCUCAUGAUAACAAUACAGCAGCAAUUAAUGAAAGGCCUGCUAGGGAUUUAUUACGAUGGAGGAGACCAGAAUACGGUGCCAGAGAUCCUGGACGCUCGACAUUUGAAUACAGGCCACAAAUUAUAAACACUUUCAGUAAAUGAAGUGACUGAGUGUCUUUGUUCCACAGGCGUACAUCUUCCUAUUGCUAGCAAGGAACAGGGCGCUCUAACCACUAGCGUGGCCAGCUCUGGGAAAGGAAGUUAUUGAAGCCUGGAUUUCCUGCUUUCAGCUGUGGCCAAGAACUUGGAGGUUUAUGGCGGUUUCAGGAACUGACUCAUCUAAUGAUUCAUGGAUCAAAGAUUGCUUUUCACAUGUGUCUGGUCAUGGAAAAACUUGCUAGAAUAAGAACAUACAACAGUCAAACAGUAUGCUAUAGAUGGCUGAAGGGAAGGGUAUUAUUAAAUAUAAAGGACAAGUUCUUCAGAAUAACUUUUUUUUUUUUUUAAGAAGUUCAGACGCCAUUUGUAUCAACAUUAAUUUCUUCCUCUGAACUGACUAAGCCCUCCAUCUGGUUUGAGUUACAAGGAUAUAACUUUGAAGUGUUGGAACUGGUCUCUCUAGCCUUUUCAGGUGCAGAAAGGGUCUAAACCAGAUGUCUGCUUAAGCACAACACUGUUUGCCUUCUACAAUUCAACAGCCUCACACACACUCCUCCCCGGCUCAGCAACAGGAAAAACAAUAGGUUCUCUCUGUGCGCUCCUGUUCCCCCACAAUCCUCCAUUCCCAGAGUCCAGAUACGACGCGCCGAGGCACGACGUUACUCCAGAGGAAACAGGGCGGGCAAAUCCCAACAAAGGAAGGAAAUGACAGAGGAACAGCAGCCAGAUUCUCCCAUGCAAUCUUUCUGGAACAUGCUGAUACAUUAAAACUAUGUCAACAACUGCUAGAAUCGUGUCUGGCAGCUUGGGACAAAUAAAAGGGAUACUUCUACAAUUACACAACAACAGAGAAGUAACGUGAAGUUUCUCCAGAGUAAACAAGUCUGGGAAGUUCAGUGAGAAGUACGCAGGGUUGAUGUUGUUGUUGUUUUAAAAAUAAACGACACACAUAUUAAAGCU